GGCCAUAGCUCAGGGACAGAGCAUCUGCUUUGCAUGCAAAGGGUCCUAGGUUCAAACUCCAGGUAGGGCUG